UGUGUGUGUGUGUGUGUGUGUGGGGGGGGGAGAGCAGGCGCAUGGUACUCCCCAUGGUAGCCCAGUCGUACUGAAGGAUAAACAGUGAUUAUCUGGGCUGCCUGGAGAGAGACACAUGCUUAUGUACCACUCUCAGACAGACCACACAUACAUGUGAGGGACACGGUAGCCAAGACAACGCUCUAGCUGCAGUCAGAGGAGAAUAACACAUAAACAAAGACACGCAGAAUCACGUUCAGUCAAGUGUGAAUUGUCAUGUCUCUCAUACACGCGUCCACACAGAUACACAAACUAUGCCGCCGAUAGUGAGGCGAGUGUGAGGCGUCUGUGAGGUAAGAAAGAUCAAAGCUACUUAAUCAGCUUUAACAGACACACUUAGAGAGAGAGAUGUGGGACAGCGGGAAAAGAAAGAAUGGGGAGAGGGAGGGAUAGCAGAGAACAGAGGGUAGAGAAAGUGGUGACAGGCGGUGACACUGCGCGUGUCCUCGUUCCCUGUUUAAGAUGGGAUAAUCACACACACACACACACACACACACACACACACACACACACACACACACACACACACACACACACACACACACACACACACACACACACACACACACACACACACAAGCUGUGCUCUGUCCUCCGUGUCCCCCUCACAGCCCACUGUGACAUGCUGUUGCCAAUGCCACGAUACUGUGUGUGUGUGUGUGUGUGUGUGUGUGUGUGUGUAGUGUCUGUCUCUUCUUUUCCUAUAUGCCUAUUCCAUCUCUUUCUCUCCCCCUCCCUCUCUUUGUAAACCCUUUCUUUGCUUACCCUUUACCUCCUCCCUCUCUUCUCUCUCGCCCACUACGUCUCUCUUACAGGAAUUGUUAGCAGAUGUGGACAGAGCUUUUUCCUUCAUCUAAAAUUAGCCCCAAUAGAAGAAUGGCAGGAAAAGAGGGAGGGAGGGAAAGGGGGAUUGAUGGAGAAGCAGAAAGGAAUAGGGAAGGAAUAGGUUGAUGGUCUCGGUGAAGUAAGGGUGUAUUUUUGGGACCUCACACACCAUGCUGACGCAGUCAAGCCGUCGGGGGCACAAACAAAUUUGGAGGAGAGGAACAGCGUCCCGGCGUCUGAGUAGCAUGUGAUGCUAACCCGUCCUGCUGUUGUUGAAAAGGCCUGGAUUAGGAUUAGUUGUAAGUGAAUAAUGAUGAGUUGGGACUAUAGAAAGGUCUUGAUCCAUCUCAGCAGUUACAUAAUUAGGACUCUAUAAAAUCAGUUAUACUUUUGAUCUGAACUGUUUAGUUUUCCCCAAAUCCCGUUUUCUCUGUUUACUUUUUCCACGUUUCUGUUUUCCCCAACUUUUUUUCAGGUUUUCACUCUCUAAAGUCAACAACAAUACUGAAUCCACAUCAGGAGACCGCUUUUGAGGUCUGUGGAUUUUGGUGUUGUUGAAAUGUAGGUUUCUGUGUUACUGUUUAAUUCCAUUGUGCAGUUAGCAAGAGGCUGUUGUUUUUGUAGCUCACGUGAUGGUAGAGUUAACAAAAAAACAUUGACGCAAAUAAUCCUGAUAUCAUUCUGCCAGGUAAGCGUAGGCUACCUUGUAGUUAACAUUUAAUUGAGAAGGUUUUUGGGAAAGCCUUUCUAUCUACCAGGAGACUUUUCAUUAGCAUCAUCGCUAACAGCUACACAGUGGUAGACGUACCGCACAUACAGACAGGGGGAAUUAUUGUUGCCUCUUCAGAAAGUUGCAGGAAAAUACACAUCACUGAGGCAUUCUGUAUGCUAGUCAAUACAGUUCAAUCAAUACAUUUUUUAUUUAUUUUUGAAUUCAGUUUUAAUGUCUGGAUGUUAUAGGACCCGACAUAAUACACUCAGCCUCUCGUUGGCACCAGGGACACUGAUGUUUUGUGUGUGUGUGUGUGUGUCUGUGAGCACGUGUGUGGAAGAGAACAGAGAAGUCCUGUAUAGUGUAACAGGUGAGUGAGAGGCGCCUGCAGUGGAUUCCCCAGGACACUACAGGACAGACCAGACAGACAGGCAGCACCACUCAACACACUGGCUGCAUAGCCUACAUAGUGAGACACAUGGAUCAAACACCAUACUGAGGUCGCUAAUGAAUGAAGUAUCACAUCACCUUAAACAAUCACCUGAAGAGUUGCAUCGUUUCAUUACUUUGUAAUGGGGUCAUUUAGUUCAGAUAAACUCCACAACUCUAACCAGUCCCUUAACAGUAGAAGUGUGAUAGAGUCUGACAGAGAGAGCAGUUGAGGUGGGGAGGACCGUAGAGCAGUUGAGGUGGGGAGGACCGUAGAGCAGUUGAGGUGGGGAGGACCGUAGAGCAGUUGAGGUGGGGAGGACCGUAGAGCAGUUGAGGUGGGGAGGACCGUAGAGCAGUUGAGGUGGGGAGGCUGUUCAUAUCAACAGGCGGUCAGGUGUUUUUUUCUUCUUAACAUUCCCACAAUGUUAAUCUGCCCUGGAACGUACCGGCCACUGGAUAGGAGGUGUUAGUGGGAACGUACCGGCCACUGGAUAGGAGGUGUUAGUGGGAACGUACCGGCCACUAGAUAGGAGGUGUUAGUGGGAACGUACCGGCCACUGGAUAGGAGGUGUUAGUGGGAACGUACCGGCCACUGGAUAGGAGGUGUUAGUGGGAACGUACCGGCCACUGGAUAGGAGGUGUUAGUGGGAACGUACCGGCCACUAGAUAGGAGGUGUUAGUGGGAACGUACCGGCCACUGGAUAGGAGGUGUUAGUGGGAAAGUACCGGCCACUGGAUAGGAGGUGUUAGUGGGAACGUACCGGCCACUGGAUAGGAGGUGUUAGUGGGAACGUACCGGCCACUGGAUAGGAGGAGUGAGUGGGAACGUACCGGCCACUGGAUAGGAGGUGUUAGUGGGAACGUACCGGCCACUGGAUAGGAGGUGUUAGUGGGAACGUACCGGCCACUGGAUAGGAGGUGUUAGUGGGAACGUACCGGCCACUGGAUAGGAGGAGUGAGUGGGAACGUUCCGGCCACUGGAUAGGAGGUGUUAGUGGGAACGUGCCGGCCACUGGAUAGGAGGAGUGAGGGGGAACGUGCCGGCCACUGGAUAGGAGGAGUGAGGGGGAACGUGCCGGCCACUGGAUAGGAGGUGUUAGUGGGAACGUGCCGGCCACUGGAUAGGAGGUGUUAGUGGGAACGUACCGGCCACUGGAUAGGAGGACUGAGUGGGAACGUGCCGGCCACUGGAUAGGAGGUGUUAGUGGGAACGUGCCGGCCACUGGAUAGGAGGAGUGAGUGGGAACGUGCCGGCCACUGGAUAGGAGGAGUGAGUGGGAACGUACCGGCCACUGGAUAGGAGGAGUGACGGGGAACGUGCCGGCCACUGGAUAGGAGGUGUGAGGGGGAACGUACCGGCCACUGCAUAGGAGGUGUUAGUGGGAACGUACCGGCCACUGGAUAGGAGGAGUGAGUGGGAACGUGCCUGCCACUGGAUAGGAGGUGUUAGUGGGAACGUGCCGGCCACUGGAUAGGAGGUGUGAGUGGGAACGUACCGGCCACUGGAUAGGAGGUGUGAGUGGGAACGUACCGGCCACUGGAUAGGAGGAGUGAGUGGGAACGUGCCUGCCACUGGAUAGGAGGUGUUAGUGGGAACGUGCCGGCCACUGGAUAGGAGGAGUGAGGGGGAACGUGCCGGCCACUGGAUAGGAGGUGUUAGUGGGAACGUGCCGCCCACUGGAUAGGAGGAGUGAGUGGGAACGUACCGGCCACUGGAUAGGAGGAGUGAGUGGGAACGUGCCGGCCACUGGAUAGGAGUAGUGAGUGGGAACGUGCCGGCCACUGGAUAGGAGGAGUGAGUGGGAACGUACCGGCCACUGGAUAGGAGGAGUGAGUGGGAACGUGCCGGCCACUGGAUAGGAGGUGUGAGUGGGAACGUGCCGGCCACUGGAUAGGAGGUGUGAGUGGGAACGUACCGGCCACUGGAUAGGAGGUGUGAGUGGGAACGUACCGGCCACUGGAUAGGAGGUGUUAGUGGGAACGUACCGGCCACUGGAUAGGAGGAGUGAGUGGGAACGUGCCGGCCACUGGAUAGGAGGUGUUAGUGGGAACGUACCGGCCACUGGAUAGGAGGAGUGAGUGGGAACGUGCCGGCCACUGGAUAGGAGGUGUUAGUGGGAACGUACCGGCCACUGGAUAGGAGGAGUGAGUGGGAACGUGCCGAUAGGAGGAGUGAGUGGGAACGUACCGGCCACUGGAUAGGAGGAGUGAUGGGAGUCAUGCUGUGUUUUCUUUGAUAAUGUAUUGAAUGUGAGGUUUGGAUGCAUGCCGUGCAGGUCAGUAUAAGACCAACUGUAACAGUAUCUAACGUUGUGGCUUGCGAGACACAGCUACAGCAAGUCUGCCUACCCAGGAACUACAGAUGGAAAGUAUUGGAGUUGGUCUGGACUUAUGUCGGCUAUUGCUGUUGAGGAGCUGUUAGCAAAAGUGAUGAUAAUAUUACUAACACGGUUAGAAACCAUGCAAGGACGAUGUGAAGAGUAGUCUAGCUAUAUUUAAAGAGUUACACGGAGUUGUUCUGAGAGGAGAGGUGGUACAGCCUUUGUGGAACAGUGUAUUGUAGUUCACGGUGUCUCAGUGCAGCUUGGCCCAGCUGGCCUGCAUGGCUGGUUUGUCUUCACCACCCCUAGUUACUGCCUGGUGUUGGACUAUGGAACGGUUCUGUUCUUCCACUGCCAGGUAGAGUGGGCUUCUCUCUCUCUCACACACACACACACACACACACACACACACACACACACACACACACACACACACACACACACACACACACACACACACACACACACACACACACACAGCGAGGCAGAGUGUGGGUCUUGGAAGUGAGAGGAGCGAGAUUCUUCUCUCAUUCAGCAAAGAACUCUGUCGUCUCACGAUUACCUGUUGCUGGCUUCCUCUCUCCCUCCUCAUCCUCCACCACCACCUUUCUCUUACCUGUUCUGUUUGAGUCUUUGCUGCUCUGUGUUUGAAAGGAUUAAUUGUCAUGUAUGUUAAUUUUUUUUGUUCUGUUUGUUUCUGGGGGGUUAUUUUUAGGCCUGAAGUGUCUGGUUGCUAGGACACAGUGUCCAGGAGAGAGAGGGAGGGAGAGAAAAGGAAGGGAAUGGAGGGAGAGAGAUGUGUUUGCGUUGUGAAGGCUGAAUUACACACUCACACACUUAGUCAGCGAUGACGCACAUACACACACACACACACAUCCUGCCCAGUAACUGUUAUUGUGAACUUGUUUUUCUAGUUUUGUGUAACUUCUUGUCAUUAGGUCUGUUCUGUGUGUGUCACUGUCAUGCUGGUUUGGCUUUCCUGACUGUACCUCUCUACCUGCUGUCACUGUGUGCUCCGGUCUGUCUGUGUUCCUGUCUGUCUGUGUUCCUGUCUGUCUGUGUUCCUGUCUGUCUGUGUUCCUGUCUGUCUGUGUUCCUGUCUGUCUGUGUUCCUGUCUGUCUGUGUUCCUGUCUGUCUGUGUUCCUGUCUGUCUGUGUUCCUGUCUGUCUGUGUUCCUGCCUGUGUCAGUGUGUUAUUAGUGUGAGUGCUGGUCAGAGCAGCACACUUGUUGAGCUCUGCCAUUUCUCCUGCGGUGGCAUUGCAUCAGCUUCUCUCUGUCACACAGGACCAUCUCCUGGGUGUUAACACACCUUCCUGGUCUAGGUCCUACAGGCUUUCAGACAUGACAUGUUGACCAUCCCAGUUCUACAGGCCUGCUGGAUUUCACCUGGUGGCCAACUUUACAAAGUGUUCUCUUUUCACUGGAUGUCUAUAUGAGGGAUGCAUGCUCUCUCUCACUCUCUCACUCUCUCACUCUCUCACACACACACACACACACACACACACACACACACACACACACACACACACACACACACACACACACACACACACA
rnacentral:lncRNA from 1 species